rnacentral:rRNA from 1 species
UACGAAGGGGGCUAGCGUUGCUCGGAUUGACUGGGCGUAAAGGGCGCGUAGGCGGAUAGUACAGUCAGGCGUGAAAUUCCUGGGCUCAACCUGGGGGCUGCGUUUGAUACGUAUUGUCUGGAGUUCGGAAGAGGGUCGUGGAACUCCCAGUGUAGAGGUGAAAUUCGUAGAUAUGGGGAGGAACACCGGUGGCGAAGGCGGCCACCUGGACGGUAACUGACGCUGAGACGCGAAAGCGUGGGGAGCAAACAGG